UACGAAGGGGGCUAGCGUUGCUCGGAAUCACUGGGCGUAAAGGGCGCGUAGGCGGAUCUUUAAGUCAGGGGUGAAAGCCUGAGGCCCAACCUCAGAAUUGCCUUUGAUACUUAAGAUCUCGAGACCGGAAGAGGUAAGUGGAACUGCGAGUGUAGAGGUGAAAUUCGUAGAUAUUGGGAAGAACACCAGUGGCGAAGGCGGCUAACUGGUCCAGAUCUGACGCUGAGGUGCGAAAGCGUGGGGAGCAAACAGG
rnacentral:rRNA from 1 species